UACAGAGGGGGCAAGCGUUGUUCGGAAUUACUGGGCGUAAAGGGCGCGUAGGUGGCCUUCUAAGUUGAACGUGAAAUCCCUGGGCUCAACCCAGGAACUGCGUCCAAGACUGGGAGGCUUGAAUCCGGGAGAGGGAUGCGGAAUUCCAGGUGUAGCGGUGAAAUGCGUAGAUAUCUGGAGGAACACCGGUGGCGAAGGCGGCAUCCUGGACCGGUAUUGACACUGAGGCGCGAAAAGUCAGGGGAGCAAACGGG
rnacentral:rRNA from 1 species